UACGGAGGGUGCAAGCGUUAUCCGGAUUCACUGGGUUUAAAGGGAGCGUAGGUGGGUUGGUAAGUCAGUGGUGAAAUCCCCGAGCUUAACUUGGGAUCUGCCAUUGAUACUAUCAGUCUUGAAUACUGUGGAGGUUAGCGGAAUAUGUCAUGUAGCGGUGAAAUGCUUAGAUAUGACAUAGAACACCAAUUGCGAAGGCAGCUGGCUACACAAUUAUUGACACUGAGGCUCGAAAGCGUGGGGAUCAAACAGG
rnacentral:rRNA from 1 species